GACGAACGCUGGCGGUGUGCUUAACACAUGCAAGUCGAACGGAGAGGCCCUGCUAUCGUGGGGUGCCCGAGUGGCGAACGCGUGAGUAACACGUGAGUAACCUGCUCUACACUUUGGGAUAACUUCAGGAAACUGGGGCUAAUAUCGGAUAGGAGCUCCCGCUGCAUUGUAGGCGUUGGAACUUCUCGGCGGUUGGGGAUGGAUGGGCGGCUUACCGGCUAGCUGGUUGGGUAGUGGCUUACCAAGGCUGUGACGGGUAGCCGGCAUGAGAGGGUGACCGGCCACAUGGGGACUGAGAGACGGAGCAGACUCCUACGGGAGGCAGAAGUGGGGAAUAUUGUACAAUGGGCGGAAGCCGGAUGCAGCGACGCCGCGGUCGGGAUGACGGCCUUCGGGGUGUAAACCGCUUUAGCCUGAGACGAAGCGUGAGUGACGGUAAUGGGUAAAGAAGCACCGGCUAACUACGUG
rnacentral:rRNA from 1 species